rnacentral:rRNA from 1 species
GACGAACGCUGGCGGCGUGCUUAACACAUGCAAGUCGAACGGAAAGGCCCUGCUUUUGUGGGGUGCUCGAGCGGCGAACGGGGGAGUAACACGUGAGUAACCUGCCCUUGACUUUGGGAUAACUUCAGGAAACUGGGGCUAAUACCGGAUAGGAGCUCCUGCUGCAUGGUGGGGGUUGGAAAGUUUCGGCGGUUGGGGAUGGACUCGCGGCUUAUCAGCUUGUUGGUGGGGUAGUGGCUUACCAAGGCUUUGACGGGUAGCCGGCCUGAGAGGGUGACCGGCCACAUUGGGCCUGAGAUACGGCCCAGACUCCUACGGGAGGCAGCAGUGGGGAGUAUUGCACAAUGGGCGGACGCCUGAUGCAGCAACGCCGCGUGCGGAAUGACGGCCUUCGGGUUGUAAACCGCUUUCGCCUGUGACGAAGCGUGAGUGACGGUAACGGGUAAAGAAGCACCGGCUAACUACGUG